rnacentral:lncRNA from 1 species
GCUGAUCCACACAGAAACCCAAAAGCCCGACGAGAUUUUUGUGCUGAAGUUUCAAUAUCAGUAGGACUUCAUUUGUGAACUCCAGAGUACCCUGCUCAGAGAAGCUUGAAAGCCUCUUGACAGCUACUUCCUUUCCAUCAGGUAGUACACCCUAAAAUGAAUAAACUUGUUUUCUUUUAAAUUGCAGAAGAGGCAUCUUGGAUAAUUUAAUUUUUGAUUUAGAUGUCAAUAAUGAAAUGUGUUAAGUAUUUGAUAGAAAUUUCUCUUACCUUGUAAACAGGUCCAAAACCACCUUGUCCCAGCAGCUUUGAAUGAGAGAAGUUAUCAGUAGCUGAGUUUAUGGUUGCCAAAUCAAAAUAAGAGUCAUGAGCCCUUAGCUC